rnacentral:lncRNA from 1 species
UAGGCCUUCACAUUCACUCACCACUCACUCACCGACUCACCCAGAACAACUUCCAGUCCUGCAAGCUGCAUUCAUAGGUCACAUUGUUGCUAUGUGGAAAACACUGCAGGGGUGAGUGUGACAGCAGACAGACCCGUUAGAGCCACUGAUGUGCAGAUGCUUACCAGAACAUCAUGAAAUGAGCCCAAGGUCUGAAGCCGUCAGCUGCCAGCAGCACCCCUUCACUGAUUGGUCCUGCCCCUCAGUUCAUAUGAGGGUGAAGGGAGAGUUCUCUACCUUGGCAAAUGGCACCACCAUCCAUCUGACUGGACCAAGCACAAGCUUGAGAGCCACGCUUGACACCUCCUUUCCCUUCAGCACCUCCCUACCACCACAUUCAAUCUGUCCAGGAAUAGCAGGAGAUAGAAGGAACACAGGGGAGGCAGGAGAGCAAGGCUGUUGCCCUCAUCCGCUACCUCCUGGCUGACUGAGGGCGGAUGUGUUAGAUAAAUCUGAGAACUCAAAGAAGCGCAGAGGUUCUAUUCUGCAACCCAGUAAAGAUGAAGAGGAGGAAGCUAAUUCCCAGGUGCCUACACUGAGCUGACAGACAGAUGCCUCUCCCUGGUAGCUCCAGCACAGUAAAGCAGAGGCAGACUCCAAGGCUCCCUUUGCUGAGUUGCCUUUGCUUCCAGUGAAGGAGAACCCAAGAGUCCAGCAAAGGAGUUCUUGACAUGACAAGGGUGGAGGAUCUGAGCACCCAGGGCCACUGAAUGGAGCAGCCAAGCCAAAGCCAAAUGGGAAUCUCAUCAGAGUUGUCUGAUGCCAGAGAGAGCCAAGGUCGGGAUGAGUCAGCCAGAGGGUGCUCCCAGGCUCUGAUCCAGCUGAGAGGGGCCAGAUCAUGUGUUACACUUCUUCAGAGGCCAGAGGAAGCACAGGGCACAGGCACAAAGACCCUAAAUCUUCCCCAUGGCCCUCGUGAGGUUGCAGAAACCACCACCACCCCUCACACGUAUAUCUGGACACACCAGAUGAGAAUAUACCAGAAGGAAGAAGAAUAUUAUCUGAAAGAUUGAGCCAUUUGUCCAAAAGAGAUUAAUCUAAAUAUACUUUAAUAUUGGUUUUAAUAUUGAUUUAAGCCUUAAUUUGAACACAAAAUUUCUCUUUGCUAACCAGCUGGGUGAGGACUUUAAAGGAAGGUUAUAUUAGGUGGAGAAAAAGUAAAGUAUGUUUUCUCUGCAUAUCCAAAUCAUAGUACAAAGUAAAUACUGUGCAUCUGACACACAGGAAUAAAAGGACCAUGAAAUCACUUGUCAAAAAUCUUAGCAGUUUAGAAAAACCAGGCAGAAAGUUGCUGCAGGGUCGGAUGGGUCACUUUCUUAAAGUUCCCACAGAUAGGGCUGACUGCAGCUUUCACAACUGUAGAAAACACAGGAGGAAAUUCAAAGAGCGAACCACGAUGGUGGAUUCCUAACUCUUGGUCAGACCCGCCCUCUAAGUGGUAGCUCAGCUAGUCUGCCCAUGGUGGGCACCAGGCAACUUCCAUGGAGAGGGGAUAUGCCCACUCACGUCCCCUCCUGGUCAAUACUUAUAGGCAUGUCAGCAAAAAGACUUGUUUAAAAAUAAAGAGUCCACAAUAUAUGAUGACCCAUACACAUGUUUCAAACUGUGAAGCAUAAAUAUACUUAUUGUAGGGAAAAAAUAGUACACAAUGAAAACAACCACAUGGGCCUGGGGUUCACUACCUGCCCCUUUCCACUAGGACAAGACAAAAGGCCUUUGACAUUCUCUUCCCUGAAUCUGUUCUGCAAUCUCUUCUUCAGUUAUCCUUGUGAUUCAUCCAUGGAUCUCCUGCAUGCUGUGCUGGGUCACGUGCCACCAGGAUCCUUCACAGGGCACAUCCUGUCAUUGUAUCAGGUCUGAAGCAGUAAUAGUCAGUGAGCUCUCUCGGUCCUUCCUCCUGCAAAGUCUUCAUCUUCCUAACUCUGACCUUUACUGUUCUUGUUUCUAAUUGCACAACAAAUGUAAUGUGUAGGCUGUAUUUCUCCUCCAGUGAAAAUCCACUUGGUCCAGUGCCUGCUGCUAGUAAACCUAGCUAGUAAGGUUAGAAAACCUCUGCUCUUCAUCAUGCUGAAAGAGAUGGCCUUUAUAGCCCUCUUUAACUGCUGAUGGGAAUAGGACAACUUCUAGGCUGGCUGCCUUGGCUCCCCCAUCCCCGUUAUUCAUAAGGUUUUACUCUAAAUCGUUCCUGCACCCCACUGUUAAGUGUCCUGCCAGAUGCAUCAAGGGGAUUUACAAUCACCCAUUUGUGCACUCCAUGGACUUUCCUGCUUAGUUCUGUAAUUCCCUCUGCUUACGUAGAUGAAACCCAUUGUUACACUUGUGCGCUUACCCAUGUGCUUAGUGCUAGCAAUUCUGAGCACUCGAUAUUGUCAUGAGAAAAUACUACAAGAUUGCAACCCAGCUCUCUGCACAGGCAGGCCUAUCCUCCCCGCAGUAGCAUAUGAGCUCCAUGAAAGCUACAAUCUAGAAUGCUACAUCCCAGUGUCUUGAACUGUGCCUGACAUGUAGUAGGCACCCAAUAGACAUGGGUGGAACAGAUGAUUGAGUUGAUGAGCAGAAAAAAACAAGAGGCAUGUUGCAUCUUCUGUGCACAAAAUCCCACCAGCAAAGGAACCUAUGUACAAGCUUCUUUUUUUGUUAAAGGCCUCCCCUUACACCUCGCCAACCCCACACCCUUUUUCAAUACACAAUCUCCUGGAAAAAAAAAAAUCCCUGUGUGAUCUUUAAAUAUUACCCUUGUGCUGGCACCUUCUUUGCCAAAGGCAGGAAAAACUCGUCUAUCAAGUUUCCCUUCAUUUGAGCAGAGGCAACUAUCUACAGCUUUGGAACUAUGGCUCUCUCACCAGCAGCUGAGCACUUUGAUCUUCAUGCCAUUCCCCGAAAUAAAGAGGCAGAAGCCAAACCGUAGCCUGGUCUCAGCUCUCCUAGCCUCAAGCUGCAUGAGGCAGAACCAUCCAAAGGGCCAGGCAUCCAUGGACAUCUGGCAGAGAGGGCGCAACCCCCUCUGGGCUCCAGCAGCUCUCAGCGGUGCUCCUUUGAGGUUCUUUGUCCCCAGGGAGUCUAGUAUGUGUGGCCAAGAGUUUCACUGGCUCUUUGACUGUAGCAAGCAUCUUAACUUAGUUAAACCUCAGUUUUCUUAUCUAUAAAAUUAGAAUAACAAUAGUAUCUGCCUCACAGGAUCAUUAUGAGAAAUAAAUAAGACAGUAUACACAAAGUGCUUGGCACAAAGUAAGAGCUCAAUAAAUGAUAGCUAUUAUUAUUCCUGCUUGGUAUGAUUUGUUCAUGCACUUUUGUUGUAAACAAAUAAACAAAUGCAACCUGCAAUCUGAAAUAAAUAGAAAAAGCUCACCUAUCAUUAUUAAUUCAUUCAACAAAGACUGUGUCAGGCCCCAGAUGAGACAGGCAAGGUUUUCAAAGUUUUGGUGUUGAGUCUUUAAGUCGUCUGGGUCUUCACUUAAGUUGAUCCCUGGAAUCAUAAGUACUCUCUGUUUGCGUUUCUCUCUCUCAGUGCCCACAACUCAGCUGAAUGUAAUGUUUCAGGACACUUUCCUGAACUGGACACAUCUUAGGCUGGAUCCUUUGGAAGGCAAAUUCUGACAUUAGCGUUUAGGAAAUUUGUAAGAGAGUUCUCUAGGGAUUAAUACCUGUGGAAGAGAGAAGAAGAAAGCAGACUGGUCAGAGGGAGAGUCCAACAAAGCAAUGCAGUCCCAGCAAAGGCCUCAGAAACUCCACAGACAUGUCCCAAAUUGGAGAGAGUGGGCUGGACCUUUAU